UACAGCCAUAUCACGUUGAAACACCGGUUCUCGUCCGAUCACUGAAGUUAAGCAACAUCGAACCUCGUCAGUACCUAGACGGGUGACACCUUGGGAAUACCAGGUGUUGUAAG
rnacentral:rRNA from 1 species